UUCUCGUUUCUCGUUUUGUUUAUAUAGAUUAGACCGUUGGUUUUCCCGUUUGAAUGGUUUUACACUAGUAAUUUUGGGGCCCUUUAUAGCUUGUUGUUCGGUGUGAGCUAAGGCUCCGUGUUGAAGGCCGUACUUUAACCUAUAAUGGUUUACUUUUUAAAUUGUUAUUUGUAUGGAGAGUUGUCUCAUUGGCACUCACACCACAUCUUCCUAUAUCUAUUAACUCAU
rnacentral:lncRNA from 1 species